UACGUAGGGGGCUAGCGUUGUCCGGAAUCAUUGGGCGUAAAGCGCGUGUAGGCGGCUCGGUAAGUCUGUUCUGAAAGUCCAGGGCUCAACCCUGGGAUGCGGAUGGAUACUGCCGAGCUCGAGUCCGGAAGAGGCGAGUGGAAUUCCUGGUGUAGCGGUGAAAUGCGCAGAUAUCAGGAGGAACACCAAUGGCGAAGGCAGCUCGCUGGGACGUGACUGACGCUGAGACGCGAAAGCGUGGGGAGCAAACAGG
rnacentral:rRNA from 1 species